rnacentral:rRNA from 1 species
AUACAUGCAAGUCGAGCGAAUGGAUURAGAGCUUGCUCUYAWGAAGUUAGCGGCGGACGGGUGAGUAACACGUGGGUAACCUGCCCAUAAGACUGGGAUAACUCCGGGAAACCGGGGCUAAUACCGGAUAACAUUUUGAACUGCAUGGUUCGAAAUUGAAAGGCGGCUUCGGCUGUCACUUAUGGAUGGACCCGCGUCGCAUUAGCUAGUUGGUGAGGUAACGGCUCACCAAGGCAACGAUGCGUAGCCGACCUGAGAGGGUGAUCGGCCACACUGGGACUGAGACACGGCCCAGACUCCUACGGGAGGCAGCAGUAGGGAAUCUUCCGCAAUGGACGAAAGUCUGACGGAGCAACGCCGCGUGAGUGAUGAAGGCUUUCGGGUCGUAAAACUCUGUUGUUAGGGAAGAACAAGUGCUAGUUGAAUAAGCUGGCACCUUGACGGUACCUAACCAGAAAGCCACGGCUAACUACGUGCCAGCAGCCGCGGUAAUACGUAGGUGGCAAGCGUUAUCCGGAAUUAUUGGGCGUAAAGCGCGCGCAGGUGGUUUCUUAAGUCUGAUGUGAAAGCCCACGGCUCAACCGUGGAGGGUCAUUGGAAACUGGGAGACUUGAGUGCAGAAGAGGAAAGUGGAAUUCCAUGUGUAGCGGUGAAAWUKGCGUA